CCUGGAUGAGAAAGGGAUGGAAAUCCAACCCAACAGGCUGGCUGCCUCGCUCCUUCUGUGUUUGUGCAAGCUAGAAACAUCUUGAACAGUACCUGAGCUUCUGCUGGAGAUCACAGCAAAUACAUCCAAGUUAGAAGCGUUGCAGGAUGAGGCACAAAGGACGGGGAGGUACCGAAGCCGCGCGCACCGGCGCCGCGCUGCUGAGGGAACCAGAAUUACCAGCCCGCCAGCGCCUGCCUUCCCCGGAGAGCGCGUUGCCUCGCCCAGGGUGUUGCCUUCAUGGAAACAAAAACUGUUUGCCAUUUUCUGGAAAGAUCCUUCCCAUGCUGCGCGUCUGAGCAGAGGGCACCCUGCGGGUACAAGAGCAGGGGUGAGGGCACGGUCCCGAGUGGGUGCAGGUAACGAGGGGGCAAAUUCAGCUCCGCUCUGCUGGUAAAUCCUCCAGCAGCCAAAGGAAUCAAUAACGUGGGUGAACUCCUGUAAACCAGCAUGGGAACAGCCUGUAAAACAAUGCUGAUUUACACGUUGGGAUGCAGCAACGCCAGAAAUGUUUUCCACCUCCAUCUCCAGAAACUUUUGAAGUUUCUUCCCGAAUAUUUCAACACGUUUUCCUUCCCCGCUUCCCCAGCUGGGAUCACUUUUGCCGGUACAGCCAAUCCUUCCCGGUAUCCAUGGGAAUUGCCUCCGUAAUUAGCAGCGCACCCCGUGCACAGAUCAGAGCGUUGGAGCCCGGCAGCUGGAACUGGGAGGCGGGCCCGGGGAAAUCGCGCUGCCGCCA